GACGAACGCUGGCGGCGUGCCUAAUACAUGCAAGUUGAGCGCUGAAGGUUGGUACUUGUACCAACUGGAUGAGCAGCGAACGGGUGAGUAACGCGUGGGGAAUCUGCCUUUGAGCGGGGGACAACAUUUGGAAACGAAUGCUAAUACCGCAUAAAAACUUUAAACACAAGUUUUAAGUUUGAAAGAGGCAAUUGCAUCACUCAAAGAUGAUCCCGCGUUGUAUUAGCUAGUUGGUGGGGUAAAGGCUCACCAAGGCGAUGAUACAUAGCCGACCUGGGAGGGUGAACGGCCACCAUGGGAAUGGGACACGGCCCAAACCCCUAAGGGGAGGAGCAGGAGGGGAACUUUGGCAAUGGAGGAAAGUCUGGACGAAGAACGGCGCGUGAGUGAAGAAGGGUUUCGGAUCGUAAAACUCUGUUGGUAGGGAAGAAAGUUGGUGAGAGUGGAAAGCUCAUCAAGUGACGGUAACUAACGAGAAAGGGACGGCUAACUACGUG
rnacentral:rRNA from 1 species